AUGCACGCUGGCGGCGUGCCUCAUCCCUGCCAGUCGAGCGAACAGAUGAGGAGCUUGCUCCUCUGACGUUAGCGGCGGACGGGUGAGUAACACGUGGAUAACCUACCUAUAAGACUGGGAUAACUUCGGGAAACCGGAGCUAAUACCGGAUAAUAUAUUGAACCGCAUGGUUCAAUAGUGAAAGACGGUUUUGCUGUCACUUAUAGAUGGAUCCGCGCCGCAUUAGCUAGUUGGUAAGGUAACGGCUUACCAAGGCAACGAUGCGUAGCCGACCUGAGAGGGUGAUCGGCCACACUGGAACUGAGACACGGUCCAGACUCCUACGGGAGGCAGCAGUAGGGAAUCUUCCGCAAUGGGCGAAAGCUUGACGGAGCAACGCCGCGUGAGUGAUGAAGGUCUUCGGAUCGUAAAACUCUGUUAUUAGGGAAGAACAAAUGUGUAAGUAACUAUGCACGUCUUGACGGUACCUAAUCAGAAAGCCACGGCUAACUACGUG
rnacentral:rRNA from 1 species